UUUGGCGACAUUAGCACAAUGGUCCCACCUGAUCCCAUGCCGAACUCAGAAGUGAAACGUUGUAGCGCCGAUGGUAGUGUGGGGUCUCCCCAUGUGAGAGUAGGUCAUCGCCAGAU
rnacentral:rRNA from 1 species